rnacentral:rRNA from 1 species
GAUCAUGGCUCAGGACGAACGCUGGCGGCGUGCCUAGUACAUGCAAGUCGAGCGGACAGAUGGGAGCUUGCUCCCUGAUGUUAGCGGCGGACGGGUGAGUAACACGUGGGUAACCUGCCUGUAAGACUGGGAUAACUCCGGGAAACCGGGGCUAAUACCGGAUGCUUGAUUGAACCGCAUGGUUCAAUUAUAAAAGGUGGCUUUUAGCUACCACUUACAGAUGGACCCGCGGCGCAUUAGCUAGUUGGUGAGGUAACGGCUCACCAAGGCAACGAUGCGUAGCCGACCUGAGAGGGUGAUCGGCCACACUGGGACUGAGACACGGCCCAGACUCCUACGGGAGGCAGCAGUAGGGAACCUUCCGCAAUGGACGAAAGUCUGACGGAGCAACGCCGCGUGAGUGAUGAAGGUUUUCGGAUCGUAAAACUCUGUUGUUAGGGAAGAACAAGUACCGUUCGAAUAGGGCGGUACCUUGACGGUACCUAACCAGAAAGCCACGGCUAACUACGUGCCAGCAGCCGCGGUAAUACGUAGGUGGCGAGCGUUGUCCGGAAUUAUUGGGCGUAAAGCGCGCGCAGGCGGUUUCUUAAGUCUGAUGUGAAAGCCCCCGGCUCAACCGGGGAGGGUCAUUGGAAACUGGGGAACUUGAGUGCAGAAGAGGAGAGUGGAAUUCCACGUGUAGCGGUGAAAUGCGUAGAGAUGUGGAGGAACACCAGUGGCGAAGCGACUCUCUGGUCUGUAACUGACGCUGAGGCGCGAAAGCGUGGGGAGCGAACAGGAUUAGAUACCCUGGUAGUCCACGCCGUAAACGAUGAGUGCUAAGUGUUAGAGGGUUUCCGCCCUUUAGUGCUGCAGCAAACGCAUUAAGCACUCCGCCUGGGGAGUACGGUCGCAAGACUGAAACUCAAAGGAAUUGACGGGGGCCCGCACAAGCGGUGGAGCAUGUGGUCUAAUUC